rnacentral:tRNA from 1 species
GCCUCUGUAGCUCAGAAUGGUAGAGCACUGCACUGAAGAUGCAGGUGUCGAGGUUUCGAUAGCCUCCAGAGGCACCA